UAUAAAAAUACCUCUCAAUCGAAUUAUCCUCGUUCAGAUUCAGAAAACGACACGCGCCACGAGAAAAAAUGACAUUAUCAUCAGAAUUACCGGUAAUACUCAUUCCGGGAGUGCACUAGCCAGCACGUUGGCUCUCCGUGCUGAACGAGCGGACGACAUUCUCGGCUAAUUAUAAAAAAAAAAGGAAGGGCGAGACGCGCGUCACAGCGGCGAGAAAACUCGGCACGAGCAGGGGAAUCACAAAAUCCCCCUGGUUCUCAGUUCUCCAGUGACGUCAGCCGGCGAUGCACGGGCCCAACGCUGCACUGCCGUCCCGUCCAAUAGCUGCGCUACGAGCCCCGUUGGGUCUCCCACGGCUCUCGUCUUGCACGCGCUAUAAAUCCCCACUAGCUUGUACAAACGGCGGACAGUCGCGUCGUGUCGUGCGUGCCCCGUUUCGUGUAAGGAUGUAGUGUCGUUCGAAAAUAUCGCGGGGAUCUUGUGUGCGCAAAAUCAUUGUUACGAUCGGGAUCGAGACCGACCACGUGUUCUCUGGGAGUCAUCUCGAUCACACGGACAGACUAUUCCUACAUAGUGAGAAGAAAGAGUAACCAGAGAGAAGAAGGGUGUCCGCAUUCGAAACGCUCCUCUGGAGUUCCUCAGUGAAACGACUUUUUGUUUUCCUCCCUUCGGAGGCAUUUUUACUCGCAAAUACUGUGAUAUUGUGUGUCAAGUGCAAUUUUCUUUGGAUUUUCAGAAUAAAGAGAGACCGAGAUAAUGACAGUGAAAGCGGAGGAGGGCGAACGUCCGAAGAUCGAGACCUUCGACGACAUUCUGCCGCACGUCGGCGAGGCCGGCCGCUAUCAAUGGUUCCUUUUCAUCGUUCUACUGCCCUUCACCUUCGUCUACGCGUUCCUGUACUUCACCCAGUUCUUCAUCACCCUGGUGCCGGCCGAGCACUGGUGCAAAGUGCCGGAACUCGACAAAUGGAACCUCACCAUUGAUGAAACGUGAGCUACUUCUUAUUCUAUUAUAUUAAAAAAAUUUCUAUUCUAUUAAAACAUUGUAUCACGU